AGAGUUUGAUCAUGGCUCAGGACGAACGCUGGCGGCGUGCUUAACACAUGCAAGUCGAACGAGAUUUAGUGAGUAGCAAUACUCACGAAGAUCUAGUGGCGAACGGGUGCGUAACACGUGAGGAACUUGUCCCGGUCUCUGGGAUAACAGUUGGAAACGACUGCUAAUACCGGAUGACGUCGGAACUUCGCAUGGAGUACUGACGAAAGGGUUACUGGAUCGGGAGAGCCUCGCGGCCUAUCAGCUUGUUGGUGGGGUAAUGGCCUACCAAGGCAUCGACGGGUAGCUGGUCUGAGAGGAUGAUCAGCCACACUGGGACUGAGACACGGCCCAGACUCCUACGGGAGGCAGCAGUGGGGAAUCUUGCACAAUGGGCGAAAGCCUGAUGCAGCAACGCCGCGUGCGGGAAGAAGGCCCUCGGGUUGUAAACCGCUUUCAGAAGGAACGAAACUGACGGUACUUUCAGAAGAAGGUGCGGCCAACUACGUGCCAGCAGCCGCGGUGACACGUAGGCACCAAGCGUUGUCCGGAUUUAUUGGGCGUAAAGAGCUCGUAGGCGGUUCAGUAAGUCGGGUGUGAAAACUUUGGGCUUAACCCAAAGCGUGCAUCCGAUACUGCUGUGACUUGAGUACGGUAGGGGAGCGGGGAAUCCCUAGUGUAGCGGUGAAAUGCGCAGAUAUUAGGAGGAACACCGGUGGCGAAGGCGCCGCUCUGGGCCGAAACUGACGCUGAGGAGCGAAAGCAUGGGUAGCAAACAGGAUUAGAUACCCUAGUAGUCC
rnacentral:rRNA from 1 species